CAAGAUUGGGAUUUCAUUUCUAAUUGUAAACUGGAAUUCCGAAUACUGUAAUAUGUGUAUAUAAUUUGGUGCUUUCAAAAUUUAGCAUAAUCACUGGGUUGGCAUAAUCAUAAAUUAGCGCUACACAUGUAUGUGCGGUGUAUUGUAUAUAUCAAUAUGUAAAUGAUUUCUUAGCAGUAUUCAUGAAUUAGUGCAUUGUUGUCUGCACCAAAGCCGCUAAAAUAUGAAGCCUGCAUUUUAAAGUAUACAUACAGUAGUUUACUCAUGGAAAGAUAUUAGCAGAAAAAAUAUUGAGGGUCGGCUCCUAUACUUCUUAGAGUUAGGCGGGGAACUAAACAUGCUGAAAACACACUACUUAUUUAUUUAGGCCCAAUUAAAAUGUCUAAUAAAUUCAUUUUAAUUAAAUACUUAUUGUUAAUUAAAGAUCACCUUUUAUUUUUAAAAUUUGUUACAAUUCAAACCUUGGCCUUGGGGUUUAGAUGCUGAUGGAAUAAAUAAGAAACAAAAUCAUAUGUAAAAAAUAACUAAAAAUCCUUUUCAAAACCUCAAUUACUAUUGAAUUAUGAUUGGGCGUGGUAUACAAAAUAAUGCGAAUUGGAGGAAAUGGAGAAACAUAGUAAUAACAAUUAGAUCAGCUUUUAUGAUAGCGAGCAUAUUAAAAAUUUAAAAUUGGUUAUAAAAUUGAAAGGUUUUCGGGUUUUCACCACAAGAGCAAAUUAUACAACUUUAUUCUUGAAAAUGUUAGAGACUGAGACUUGGAGUCAAAGUCAACAGACACGCUUGCAUGGACAUGAAGGAUGUAAAGAACUAGAGUAUUAUAACUGAAAGCAUUUUGUCUGGAUUUGUGUAUGGAAACAGAAGGAUUUAGUAUUGGUAUCCUGAAUUUUUGUCAACUUCUAGCCAAGAUCCUGUACUUAAGCUGAAUGUGGAGGACAGAUGUACACACAGUACUAGUAUAGAGGGUAUUAUCUCGGUACCUUAAAACUCCAAACGACAGGGAGAAGAAGAAAACUGCAUAUUUCCGAUGUAUCUUCACAGCAACAUGACCCAAAGCACUACCAUUAAAGGAUUUGAUUUGACAUUAAGGAAGUAAAAAAAUGAAGGCAUUAGUCAUAAAGAAAAUUAAAGAACUUUAUGUCUGAAUAUUAUAUCAACAAUACCAUAGAUCUAAAGAUGGAUUAUUUUGCCUUAUAAUUUAUAUUAAUGCAUGUACAUGUAAUUUUAUUCUUUUUAUAUAUACAAUCAUGUAGUGUUACCAUUUUUCACAAAGCUUAAAAAGUUAUGUAGGGCCACACCAAUUUAAUUUCUUGUUCGUCGGACAUUUGAUUUAAAAAAAGUACAAGCAGUUAAAUGAUAAUAUUAUUACUCUUUGCUGGGCAAUUUUUUAGGCGGAGCGUGAAAAUUUGAGCGGACAAUUAUAUUUUUUCUGAUUUACAGAGUAAGCAGAUAUAAAAUACAAUAAAUAGAGCGGAAAUGGAACAGAAAAUAGCACAGAAUUCCUAUGGUGCGAGAAAUUGAAAUUAAUAUUAUUUGUAUGGUUUUGUUUAAAUAAGCGCGUGGGUCCGACGAACAAAAAUUUUCAUUAGUGUGGCCUAGAUCAUUUAGAUUCAAUUCAUUUUUUUCUUCAAAUUACCACAUGCCAGAAUUCAUAAGAAGGAAAUUUAUAUAUGGCUGGUGGUUGUGGCCAUUUUUAGACUAUAUUGAUCUCCUUUAGAAGGAGAGCUCCUUAUAAAAUUAUACAAAAAAUGACCAAAUUUUAAAACUAAAAUGUACAGAAUUUUUCUUUGCCAAAUGAUAGUUCAUAGAACCACAAUUCUUCAAUCAUGUCUACUUGGAGAUCAGUGGAUGGAUAUUCAUAUACAAUACACAGCUGAAGCAGGUUUUGUUAGGUUAUUUUAUUUUCAAAAGGAAUGCAUUAUUUUCUUCAGUCCAUUAAUGUUAAGCUCUUUAAUAGAAACAAUUGUAGAAGAUUUAUCAUAUUUUGUUUAGAAUUUUGAAGAAUUUGUUAAUCACUCAGUGAAAAUUAUCCCUUGUCAUAAUACAAAUUUUUAAAAUGUAUGUACAAAUACUUUUAUGUUGAAAUGACCAUGCAAGGAAGAAAAUAAAACAAGUUUAAGUGUA